GCGGAGAUGGUCUAACUCGGCAAGGCGUCCUGUUCCCACGGGAAAAUGCGGGUUCAAAUCCUAGCUCUCCGCUCCA
rnacentral:tRNA from 2 species